UUCGGCCUACGGGGCGCAGCAGUGAGGAAUAUUGGUCAAUGGACGCAAGUCUGAACCAGCCAUGCCGCGUGCAGGAUGACGGCUCUAUGAGUUGUAAACUGCUUUUGUACGAGGGUAAUAUCAGAUACGUGUAUCUGCUUGAAAGUAUCGUACGAAUAAGGAUCGGCUAACUCCGUGCCAGCAGCCACGGUAAUACGGAGGAUCCAAGCGUUAUCCGGAUUUAUUGGGUUUAAUGGGUGCGUAGGCGGUUUUAUAAGUUAGAGGUGAAAAUUCGGGGCUCAAAUCCGGACGUGCCUCUAAUACUG
rnacentral:rRNA from 1 species